rfam:Biomphalaria glabrata isolate BB02 unplaced genomic scaffold LGTN_random_Scaffold6321, whole genome shotgun sequence.
CCAGUGAUGAAUUCUUAAGUAUCUGACAUUUUUUUGAUGCAACAAAAAUUAUCCUCUAAGAAGUUCUGAUGGGA